rnacentral:lncRNA from 1 species
UGCCUAGUCAGUGCUUGGCUUUAUCUUUUAGGAAAAAAAAGAAUAAGAUCAGUCUAAGUGCAUCAUCAGUAAAAUUUUGAAUCUUCAUCAUGGAACAGAUUUUUAAGAACUCAUCUAGAUGUUUAUAAGGAUCUUCAUUGAUGUUCCCAUAGAAGGAUGGGAGCAUUUGGAUUAUGGUUAACUGGAUCUCAUAAUGGCUUGCAGGAAUAUCAGAUAAGUGGAUACAAGUUG